GUGGGAAGCCGAUUGGGCUUAUUCCCAUUCAGAAUUUAGAGGCUGGUGGAGACAGAGAGUCUCCUAAAUGGAUGCAAGUCUCCUGAAAGUCUGGGACGGAAGCCUCGAAACUUUCUGCCACGCAAAGCCCCAGCUAGUGGCCAGGGCUCGGUCCUGGUUCUCUUUGUGCAGGCCCGGAAGUGUCCGCACGGUUUUCCCACUGCCUGGAGGGGCCUAGGGUCGCGAAUAGACUCGGACAAGGCUCCGUUUACAUUCAGUUUGUCUUAAUUGACUAAUGACGGGACUGGUUGUAAUGCGUGCUCCGAGAUUUUCUCCAGGAUUUGUCACUAAUUUUGCAGUAUGAGAAAGAGAAGCUAACAAAGGAAAGCCUCUUCGAAAAAUGGGAUUUCCUUGGCCUUAGCAGUUCCGGUAUGUUCCACUACCAACACUAGGUCUGCUGUGCUGAGACUCACGGCAAACCCCAGGAGCCACCUGUGAUGCGCCAGACACAUAAGCCCCUCCCCCACAGGCGUGGGUGCGGCCAGGGCCGACCGCAUUCCAGCGAGCAUUUCCUCUGAAAGCCAGGCCAAGCGCCCGCUCUCCAGCGUGAGUGAAGCAGUGCCAUGCCUCCCACACCCCUUGCAUCACAUCUCUGGGAAUGCACAGACCUUGCUGUUACGCUCUCUCUUCCCACCCUUUAUGGGGUGUUUUCUUUAAGUGGCAGAAGUGGGCAUGGGUUGGGAGAGGAGCCAUGAAUUCUAGUUUCUGCCAUACUGCAGGUGGAUUUGGCGAAGAAGAGAGUCUCCUUUCUGGCCCACACCACAGGGACAUUCAGAAG